AAUCUCAUACAACAUGUGUUAUGCUUUUCGUUAACUUAAUGAUGGGUAUGAUACUUUUGUGGACAUUGGGGGGUCGUGAAGACUCUAUCAGUGAGUAUUUGUUCUCGGAAGGGCCACAUAUGAAUAUUGAAUAAUCGGACAUAGUACGAUAAGGUUGUAUGUCUAAAGGGAAACAGCCCAGAACAAGAGUUAAUAAGGUUCCAAAAUUAUUGUUAAGUGAAAUUAAGGUAGUAUUUAUCCCAAACGAUCAGGAAAUAGGCUUAGAAGCGGCCACUUUUUGAAGAUCUCGUAACAGAGCACUGGUUUCUUUUACAAGUUAUCUUGUAUAUAAACAAGGAUAAAAGCACCGAAAAUUCAACGGAUCUAAACAAUAUACCGACACCUUGUCUAUACAUAUAAACGUAUGUAUGGGGUAGCAGAACGUUGGGUAAAGUACGAAACUUUAGAUCUCUUUGAGAUACUAGAGCUCUUUAAAUCAUCCCAAGUGAAAAUGCUGACAUGAGUAACGAUAAAGGGAGAGAGCAGAUGCUAAUGCGGUAUCCCUUCGCCUUAAGCUUAUGGUAUUUAUUAAAGUCACGGCCUCUAAGUUUGCGUGUUUUAUUGUGACUAAAUGAGAUUAGAAUUUUUGUCUAUGUAUCUGUGUGUUAAUAAAUAGAUAAAAACAAGUCUAGUAUCUAUUCAUUAAUGAGCAGAAAGCACUCACAUGUAAAUAAAUAUAUUGAAAUGAGUGCAUAUAGGUAAAAUGAAUCAUGAUAAAAUACACCUAAAGGUACAAACGAUACGAUGAGCAAAUCUAAGCCAUACCAGAAAACAACAUAUUAAAUUUAUCAAGCAAUUAAAAUGUUUUUCUUGUUUUUUCAAAAAAUUUUAAUUAGUGUUAGUAAAUUGGUAGUGAAAUAUGUUCUGGAAAACUGGAAAAGGUGAAAGAGCAAUUUCUUAUGGUAGCAAUAAACUAAAAGAGAUGACAUACUUAUAUUGUUUUAACCAACAAUAUAUGUUGCUCUGACCCGCCGGCAAUAAUACCGUACCUAAAUACUACCACAAGUAA
rnacentral:rRNA from 1 species